rnacentral:sRNA from 1 species
GUAAAGCUGGUAUCUUGAAAGGAGAUAAAUUAUUGAAGGUGAAUUCCAAUAGUUUAGUAGAUGCUGAUCACUAUACUGCAGUCAAUGUUUUGAAGAACAGCGGCAAUGACAUCACGAUGGUUGUGGCUAGAGAGAAGCUCGUAGCCAAUGCUCAUGCAGAGAGCUUGGAGCUAGGUGACACAACACAUGAUAACAUCACUACUGUUUCAUUUACUGCAGAACCUGAGGCAGAAGUUAUGGAGAGGUAGAUACAAC